GUCAACAUUCAUUGACCUAGUUGUUUUCUUAGCAUGUGAAACGAACUCUGUUCACAGUACGAUUGUCUAAACAGCUUCUCUCAAAGGCAAAGAGGCGACUUAAAGUUAAUGGAGUAUAUCAACUUUUCAGACUUAGAAAUCGGAAUGAGGACGUUCUAGAAAUUAAUGGACCUACUUCUCGGAAAUACUGAAUUGUAGUGUACCGGUUACUUCAUCUACAUUUAAUAGGUUCAGUUUGCGCGGGUUGAAUACUUGAAUGUGGACACUGAUAUACACAGGAUCAAAUACUUGGCAUUCAACCUACAGCGAGACCUCUUCCUGGUGGAAUACUACAGUGAAUGCUGGGUAACUACAUUAAAUUGUGGGUCAGUUUUAUGGAAUGUCAAAUCAGGAUAAUCUGCCAUGCAACUUUCUUGAGAAGCUUCUUGAGUGCAGGCUGAGUGAUUGUGAACGUUUAUGUCCUGCUACUCUUAGUAGUGUCACUGGAAUUCUCAUUGUCGACCAUACUCAUGGAAGAAGCAGUCAAAGAGGCAAAGCUUGUCAAACUAAGUAACUUGUACAUUCAGCUUUUUCUGUUGCCAAGAGACAUAAGAUGUCAGAUUUGUUCUGUAUUGUUGAGUGCAGUGAAAGUUGAUAAAAAUGCUAGAAAGUUAUCGUCAGUAUCGUGGUUUGUUAGCUGCAGAAGUAGUCCUGUUUUUUGCAUUGUGCCAUCGUUUUUCGACUUGAUGCAAAAUGACCCUGGAGUGAUGCAGCUUGUGUCAGCUGCAUCUGGCGAUGGUGAUCAUCGAAAGUGAGGGAAAUUCCAGACGGGUGGUGGAAGAAGCUAGUGAAAUAAUUAUGGCAUCUAUCUACGAGAAUACAAGCAAUGUAAUUGCACACAAAGUUCAAGCAAAAAGCCAGUCAAGAUAUGUUUUAUCACAAAAGAUACCACCAUCAAUUUCACAAGUUUAAUUCAAAAAGCAGAGAAAUUCUGCAGCAAGAUAAAGCACAGUAAAGUCUAUUGUGAUCAAAAGCAGGGACUCUCUGGUUUCAGAUGAACAAGCAAGCAGAGCAGGGUACCCAUCUACAUAUAUGACAGCAUGAAUGAUGAGUCUGAUCAGCGCCCUCUAUGAUAGUAUCAGGAAUGCAGUUGAAACAUUGAAUAGUAACAGUAAAGAGUGCAUAUAGUGGUCCCAUGAUUUGCAAGUUUAAGGAUCAUAAUGAUUUCUACUCGUAUGUUAAUAUCAAAGGAAUGGUCUUCAAUGGAGAUUGUGUAUACAGAAAACCAAGAAACCAAGAGACAGCAAAAGACACAAGCGUCAACUUCAGAAGUUUUACACCAAAAGCAGAAAAAUUCUGUUGCAGUGAAAUCUAUAGCGAGAAGCAGGGAUUCGCUGGUUUCAUAUGGACCAAGUAAAAGCCAGCAAGCCAAGCAGAGUACCCAGUUCACAUGUCAGGAUGAAUGAGUCUUAUUUCAAUAGCGCCCUCUAUGAUAGUGUCUGGAGUGCAGUUGAAACACUGAAUAGUGA